rnacentral:rRNA from 1 species
UAUUGCUCUUAAACGAGGAAUCCCUAGUAAGCGUGAGUCAUCAGCUCAUGUUGAUUACGUCCCUGCCCUUUGUACACACCGCCCGUCGCUACUACCGAUUGAAUGGCUUAGUGAGACUCUCGGAUCGGGAUUUCGGAACCGGCAACGGUCCCUUUCUUCUGAGAAGUUUGUCAAACUUGGUCAUUUAGAGGAAGUAAAAGUCGUAACAAGGUUUCCGUAGGUGAACCUGCGGAAGGAUCAUUAGAAUUCCCGUGGAAGAUUCUUUCUUCCCGGCAUCUUCUUAUUAUUCAAAAAUUUUCUACCUUUUUAAUCUUUUAAAAAAAACAAAAUUUAAAUUAUGAAGACAACUUUCAACAACGGAUCUCUUGGCUCUUGCAUCGAUGAAGAACGCAGCGAAAUGCGAUAAGUAAUGUGAAUUGCAGAAUUCCGUGAAUCAUCAAAUCUUUGAACGCAAAUUGCACUCUUUGGUAUUCCGAAGAGUAUGCUUGCUUGAGGGUUGGAUCACAAAUAUCGUGAAUGAAAUUUUUUACGGAUCUGGGUUUUCCGAAAUUUAAUUUGGUAACCUAAAAUUUAUCUUAACAAUAUUGAGGUAUGAUAUUGGAAAUGUUCUAUCUUGCAUAUUUUUUGUAAGUUCCGUUGACAAUGAUUACCGAUUGUUACGUCGUGUCAUUCAUCUUUUAUUUAGGUGAGAUGAUCCAAUCUUUUGAAUUUCAACCUCAAGUCAAGUGAGAAUACCCGCUGAACUUAAGCAUAUCAAUAAGCGGAGGAAAAGAAACUAACAAGGAUUCCCUCAGUAACGGCGAGUGAACCGGGAAAAGCUUAAAUUUAAAAUCGCUUGGGUUUACCUGAGUGAGUUGUAAUUUGAAGAAAGUGUUUCGACUUUUCGGGUUUGAUCCAAAUCCUUUGGGAUGAGGUAUCAUAGAGGGUGAGAAUCCCGUUCAUGAUUGAACCUGAGUUGUCAAUUGAUUCAUUUUCUAAGAGUCGAGUUGUUUGGGAUUGCAGCUCAAAAUGGGUGGUAAAUUUCACCUAAGGCUAAAUAUCUGCGAGAGACCGAUAGCGAACAAGUACCGUGAGGGAAAGAUGAAAAGAACUUUGAAAAGAGAGUUAAAAAGUACGUGAAAUUGUUGAAAGGGAAACGAUUGAAGUCAGUCAUGCUAGCGAGGAAUCAACUUGGUGGUGUGAGUCUCUCAUCUCCUCCCUGUGCACUUCCUCGUCUGGCAGGUUAGCAUCAAUUUUGAUUGUCAUCAAAUAAUUGGGGUAAUGUGGCUUCGCUUCGGUGGAGUGUUAUAGACCCUGGUGGAUGUGACGAUUGGGAUUGAGGAUUGCAGCGGAUGCCUCUUGGCUAGUCACCUGAUUCCUGGCGGUCACCUCGCUUUUGACAGCUUGCUGACGAUUGUGGGACUCGGCGGUCUAGGUGUUGGUCUGAUCUUAAAUUCGCUAAGGAUGCUGACGUAAUGGCUUUAAACGACCCGUCUUGAAACACGGACCAAGGAGUCUAACAUGUGUGCGAGUGUUU